ACCAGGAGCCGCCUCCCUGGGCCGUUUGAGAGGACAAUGAGGCUCUUCAUCCUCCGCGCUCCUCUUCAGACUCCCCGGCUCCUCCACCUCAGCCUUGGCCUCCGCCUCCGCCUCUGCCUCGGCCUCAGCCUCAGCCUCAGCCUCUGCCUCCACCUCAGGGUGCUUCUCUUGCACAUGCUCGGCUUGCUGAUCUCCUGGCUCGGCCUUGGUGAGGCCCGGCUCCUCCACGGCGUCCAGCAGGUCAUAGGCAGGCUGGGGCUCGGGCUCCUGUUCACACUCGGUCUCAGGCAUCUCAGGUUCUGCCUCCAGCUCAGGCAUGAAUUCGGGCUCCAGCUCCUGCACCAGCUCCUGUCCUAGUUCCGGCUCCUCUGCUAGCCCAGGAUCCUCUGUGUAGCUCUGAUCCUCUUCUGAGCACAGGCUAGAGGAGGCCUCAACCAUAGGGUCGUGCUCGAUCUCCCACAGCCCCUCGCUGAAGCCGCGCCUCUUGUUGGGCUUGCCGAACUUCUCUUUGGACUCCUCAUAAGGGAACAGGUGCCUGGGACCCAGCAGGGCGGUCUCAUGGGUCCCGAAGAAGAACACCUGGUAGCGGUUGGCUUCAGCGACAUGUUCGAUCCUCGCUGGCCAGUGGGCAUAGCCCUUUAACUUGGCAAACACCAGGUCCCCGGUCUUGUACUUAGAGCGGCUGAAGCAAGACAUAGCGUGUGCUCUGGGCGCCCCCUCCUUGGCCACCGGAAGCUGACUACCGCGUCUGCUCAGGCCACUGGGUAGAGUGCGCAUGAGCAGCAGCGGGACCUCUCGAGGAUGCUGGCAACGCUUCCUUCUUGAGAAUGUUGCACUGCAAAGAGGGCAUUAUCUCUGAGAGCCAAUGGCUGAUGGAGCCCUAACCCAGAUGCCAUGGUUACCUGAAUGUUACAGCAAACAGCAAGAGAGGUACCUAUGGCAGUUGUGGUGACAAGGCUCCAUCUUGAAGACACCUGUGCCAUAAAGAUGACCUUUUUGUUGUAUUCCCACGCAGCUUCGAAAACCUGUGAUUGAAGUAAUGAGGGAAGAAAACACAGUUAUUCAAAUGGAAACAUAUUUCUCUGAAAUGUGUAAUAAUCUGGAGUUACAUUUUAGAGCCUUUGUGAGACAGUAUAUGCUCACUAUACAAAAACCUAAGAGACCUCCAUGUUAAGAAAUGUUGGUUAGGGCUUUCAUUUUAUGAUUUACUAUGAGCCCAUCAUUUGAACUUAAUUGAAGGCUCAAACACUGUGGAAGUAAAGGGAGAAUCAGCAGUCUGGUCAGAGUGUCUAGAAGGCACACGACUAAGAACAGAAACUCUAAACAUACUAAUUUUAUGGUGAUAAACUGUGUAUAGCACCACCACCACCAUGGCAACCUACAUACAUCAAUAUAUCCAACAAGUUCCCGUGCAUGAAACAUAAUGGCUAUGUUAUGAGAAUAUUGGGAAUGUGGUCUAUGUUCUCAGUAGUUUUCUGGAAGAGAAGAACAUUGGGUUCUAUAUGGGACACAUUAGAGGGGAUCCAUCUACCCCUAGGUCACUGAUGUAGGAAAUAUUAGGGAAACAUUGUUGAUUACUUAAAUCGCUCUUGAUAAUCCUUUAUUGUAUAUACCCUCCUAAAGAUUUGUCUUUCUUUUAAAAACGGUAUUGAAGGUGGAGUAUUUGAGUGCCUAAUGUGUAGGUUGUAGACUUUCCCUUAUUCUAGCUACCUUGAGUCUAGACCCUUCAGCCAAGCAUCUAGCUGAUUACCCCAUGGUAGAGUGGCUGUUUUUGACAUUUACAAUUUCUGGAAGGAUCCUGGAACAGCUUCAAGGAGAGGAUGCCUGCACCAAUGGUUUUGGACAUGUUCCAGACCACUGACACAGUCCUUCUAAGCACAAAAUUUGAAAAACACCCCAUAGCCAUUCUCAUCUGGGCUAGAGAAGCACCUGUCCUAAAUUCAGGAGAAGGCCUGUGAUUGGUGCUUACACAAUAUUUUAUUUAAAUAACAAUCAGUUUACUUCACUUUUUCAGUCAUAUGGAGAGAUACCCUCUUAUUCUCACUAUAGUGUUCUAACAAUAUGUCAAACACAAGACUUCUCUGUAGAGGUAGGUUUUGUUUGUUUGCUUGGCUACUUUAGAUUUAAUUGUUGGUAGAGUAGGUCAGCUCAGACAGUAAGAAGACAAGAUAACUUAAAUCAGUAGCCAAGUUAUAGCUUUGCAGACAACAGCCCCUUCUGUAGCAGCAGUCAUGAAGACAGGGCAAUGUAAUUAUUUCAGAGAGCAGUGGCAGUAGAAAUAAUGGGAAGAAGAAAGAAGACAACAUGCUGUAGUAGGCUCUGAGAACAUGAAGAUAAGAUGUUGUACAGCCUGGUUGUUGCAAUAGUUCCAGGAAGCUGCAAAGUGUUAAGGUCCAAAGGUUUCAGGAACCCUAGAUCUAACCCUACCUAGAGCUGUAGCCCCAGUUACAGACUCAGGGAACCUGAUACAUCGAUUUGGAAGAUAUAGCACUUGCUACAAUGUCUAUUUGAGAGCUGUAAUACUAGGAGAUAAUGCUUGCUGCUGCCUGAGGCUCUCUGUUGUUGCUGCUGCUGUAAGCCAAGGAUUAUAAGUGCUGCCGAGUGCCCGGGCCAGGAGUGGUUACAGACUAAAGCAAUAAGCCUUGAGUGUGAAUGCUUAGCAUCAUAAGUCUCUGGCCUCGAAAGUCUAGUAGCAAAGGCCCUAGCUUUCAGUGUUUGUAACUACAAUUCUUCAUGUAUGCCAGCCCAACCCACAGGCCUUGGACGAGACUGACAAUGCUAGAAGAGUUUCUCCUUACCAUCUCAUAAUUCCUACCUAGUUUAUAAAAAGUGCACAAACCAUCUGAUUGAUAAUUUAUGCUGAACAAGUAUUUAGAGGUCUCUUCCUGUGAAAUAUAUUGGAGACACAGACCUGCUGGUGAUCACAGUCUAAAAAUAAAGAAUAAUCUCAACCAAGUAUGACUUUAGAAAUGAAUGUGUGAGUGAACUUGUCUUACUUUCCAAUCUCUUGUGAGUUCUGCUUGCUAUCUGAAUGAACAUUCAGAUACCUAUACAAAUGUAUUACAAUAAUCUUGGCUAGGUUGAAAAAGACAUUUCAGUGCUAAUUAGGUAGUUAAUAGGACAGAAGUUCUUUGGUAGAAUAAGAAAUGAAAAAAGUAGAAUCAUUAACAAAUGUCAGUACAAUGCAAAUGUGGGUUUGGUUUGCUGGUUUGGAUCAGCCAUUUUACCUUUGGAUAGCUGAGGUCAUUGGAAAAAUGUAAUAGUGAAUGGAAUUGUUUCCAAAAAGCAAAAGAGUAAUUUGAUAAUCCGAAUAAAGUUCUUUUAACUUUUCUUUC
rnacentral:lncRNA from 1 species